AACGGAUUAAUUUAGGGCUUGCUCUGAAUUAGUUAGUAGCAAACGGGUGAGUAACGCGUGGGAAUCUACCCAUCAGUACGGAAUAACAUAUAGAAAUAGAUGCUAAUACCGUAUAUUCUCUAAGGAGGAAAGAUUUAUCGCUGAUGGAUGAGCCCGCGUCAGAUUAGGUAGUUGGUAGGGUAACGGCCUACCAAGCCUACGAUCUGUAGCUGGUCUGAGAGGAUGAUCAGCCACACUGGGACUGAGACACGGCCCAGACUCC
rnacentral:rRNA from 1 species